AUUGAACGCUGGCGGCAGGCCUAACACAUGCAAGUCGAGCGAGCGGCGGACGGGUGAGUAAUGUCUGGGAAACUGCCUGAUGGAGGGGGAUAACUACUGGAAACGGUAGCUAAUACCGCAUACCAUCAGAUGUGCCCAGAUGGGAUUAGCUAGUAGGUGGGGUAACGGCUCACCUAGGCGACGAUCCCUAGCUGGUCUGAGAGGAUGACCAGCAAACCUGGAACGGAGACACGGCCCGAACCCCUACGGGAGGCAGCAGUGGGGAAGAUUGCACAAGGGGCGCAAGCCGGAUGCAGCCAUGCCGCGGGGGUGAAGAAGGCCUUCGGGUUUUAAAGCACUUUCAGCGGGGAGGCGUUACCCGCAGAAGAAGCACCGGCUAACUCCGUGCCAGCAGCCGCGGUAAUUC
rnacentral:rRNA from 1 species